CACCUCUCAGGGGGGCACCUGGAGAGUUUCCAGUCCUCUACCAGUCUCGACUAUGGGAGGGAGAGUCAAGCAGAGGCAUAGCCAUUCCAAUCCUAGCUUGGGAAGUGGCUAACGAGUGGAAGACAAUCUGCUCCAAAU